rnacentral:misc_RNA from 1 species
GACGAAGGAUUCAAGCGUUGUCCGGAUUUACUGGGUUUAAAGGGUGCGUAGGCGGAAAGCUAAGUCAGUGGUGAAAGCCCGCAGCUCAACUGCGGAACUGCCAUUGAAACUGGCCUUCUUGAAUACAGUGGAGGUAGAUGGAAUAUAACAUGUAGCGGUGAAAUGCUUAGAUAUGUUAUAGAACACCGAUUGCGAAGGCGGUCUGCUACACUGUCAUUGACGCUGAGGCACGAAAGCGUGGGGAGCGAACAGG